rnacentral:tRNA from 1 species
ACCUGGCUGGCUCAGUCAGUAGAGCAUGCGACUCUUGAUCUCGGAGUUGUAAGUUCAAGUCCUAUUCUGGGUG